rnacentral:rRNA from 1 species
GGAGGAUUUGAUCCUGGUCCAGGAUGAACGCUGGCGGCGUGGAUUAGGCAUGCAAGUCGAGCGCCUGACUUUCAUUGACCAAGCCAAUUUGGUAAGGUCGCCGAAAGUCGGGAGCGGCAAACGAGUUAGUAACACCUUGGAACCUACCCUGUACACGGGAAUAAGCCAUCGAAAGAUGGUCUAAUGCCCGAUAGUCUCGCAAGAGUAAAGCUCCGGCGGUACAGGAGGGGCCUAGGCCCGAUCAGCUUGUUGGUGAGGUAAUAGCUCACCAAGGCUACGACCGGUAGGGGAGGUGAGAGCCUGACCCUCAACGACGGAACUGAGAUACGGUCCGUACACCUACGGGUGGCUGCAGUCGAGAAUAUUCCACAAUGGGCGAAAGCCUGAUGGAGCGACGCCGCGUGCAGGAAGAAGGCCUUCGGGUUGUAAACUGCUUUUCUAGGGGAAGAAGUUUUGACGGUACCCUAGGAAUAAGGAAUGGCAAACUUCGUGAAUGACAUGGAUUAAGCUCCAUGUCAGCCAUUCAAGCAACGCUACAAAAUAGCGUUUUCGUAAUUACUGGCGCGACUUCUUAUGGAAACAUAAGAAUGCACAACUUGGCUUAUAUGCGGGAAGUCUAUGGAGGGCUGCGCUCCGACAAUAUCAGAGUUCCCUAUAGAUAAUCCGCAGGGAAGUCGGUAGUGGUAAAACUACUUGACCCCUCAGAGACUGAGCUCGUAAGAGCGAGAUAGAGACUUUUCUCUAUAACACGCCAAGCACCCUACGGGGUGAUGAUAUAGUCCGAUCCUUACAGCGAUGUAAGUAAAUAAUUGGCCAGCAGCAGCGGUAAUACGAAGAUUCCAAGCGUUAUCCGAAUUUAUUGGGCGUAAAGCGUACGUAGGGGGCCUGAUGCGUCCGCCGUUAAAUCUCACUGCCUAACAGUGAGGCCGCGGUGGAUACGAUUAGGCUAGAGGAUGCGAGAGGUCUGUGGAACGCACGGUGUAGGGGUGAUAUCCGUUGAUAUCGUGCGGAACACCAAAGGCGAAGGCAGCAGACUGGCGUACUCCUGACCCUCAGGUACGAAAGCGUGGGUCGCGAAUGGGAUUAGAUACCCCAGUAGUCCACGCCGUAAACUUUGUCGACUAGCUGUUUCGAGUAUCGACCCUCGGAGUGGCGCAGCUAACGCGUUAAGUCGACCGCCUGGGAAGUACGAGCGCAAGCUUAAAACUCAAAGG